UCUGCAGAACCCUCGUCAUUCCCCUCCCAGAGCUUCCAAAAUCCCUCGGCACCCUCGGGGGGGGGGAAGCCCUGAUGCCUCUUCCUGCCCUUUGUCCCGCGGUGCCGUGGAAUGUCAGUCCGGGGAGAUGGGAAUUGCUGCCCUCACCCCCUCAGUGCUGCCCUCACCCCCUCAGUGCUGCCUCAACCCCCUCCAUAAAUGGGGGCCUCUUGGUGUCUCCUCAACGCAACCCCUCAGUGUGCCUUGCAGAGGGGCUGGUUGGGGUAAAAGUCAAAUUAGGAACUGGUUGUGUCCGAGAGGGGCCGGGCUGCUCCUGCUUGCCAGUGGAAAACCAGCCUCGGAUCCUGCCCCGGCUGUGCCAGGGAAAUCCAGCUCUGGAAUCCUGCCCCGUGCUGUGCCAGUGCUGCUCCUGCUGCUCCUGCUGUGCCAGAGGAAUCCAGCUCUGGCCUCCUGCUCCGUGCUGGUGCUGUUCCUGCUGCUCUGUGCCAUGCUGGUGCUGCUCCUGCUGUGCCAGGGAAAGCUGGCUCUGGCCUCCUGCUCUGUGCCAGCAUUCUGUGCCGGUGCUGCUCAUCUGCUCCUGCUGUGCCAGGGGAAAACUGUCCCUGGUGUGUGCUCUGCUCUGUGCCAGUGUUCUGUGCCAGUGCUGCUCCUGCUGUGCCAGGGGAAACCGGCUCUGGCCUCCUGCUCUGUGCCAGUGUUCCGUGCCACUGCUGCUCAUCUGCUCCUGCUGUGCCAGGGGAAAACUCUCUCUGGCGUGUGCUCUGCUCCGUGCCAGCGUUCUGUGCUGGUGCUGCUCCCUCUGUGCCAGGGAAAGCCAGCUCUGGCACCGUGCUGGGUGUGGUGCCAGCGUCCCGUGCUGCUGUCCCGUGCUGGUGCUGCUCCCCCUGCCCGUCCUGUGCCGGGGGACAGCGGCUGUGCCACCCUGCCCUGUGCCACUGCGCCGUGCCAGCGCUGCUGCUGCUGCUGCUGCUCCCACUGUGCCAAGGGAAACUGGCUCUGGCACGCUGCUGUGUGCUGGCUGUGCCAGAGCUCUGUGCCAGCGCCCUGUGCCAGUGUUCUGUGCUGGUGUUCUGUGCUGUGCCAGAGCUCUGUGCUGGUGUUCUGUGCUGUGCCAGAGCUCAGUGCUGUGCCAGAGCUCUGUGCCAGAGCUCCGUGCCAGUGUUCUGUGCCAUGCCAGAGCUCUGUGCUGGUGUUCUGUGCUGUGCCAGAGCUCUGUGCUGGUGUUCUGUGCCAUGCCAGAGCUCUGUGCCAGCGUUCUGUGCCAUGCCAGAGCUCUGGGCUGGUGUUCUGUGCUGUGCCAGAGCUCAGUGCUGUGCCAGAGCUCCGUGCCAGUGUUCUGUGCCAUGCCAGAGCUCUGGGCUGGUGUUCUGUGCUGUGCCAGAGCUCUGUGCCAGUGUUCUGUGCUGUGCCAGAGCUCUGGGCUGGUGUUCUGUGCUGUGCCAGAGCUCAGUGCUGUGCCAGAGCUCUGUGCCAGUGUUCUGUGCCAUGCCAGAGCUCUGUGCCAGUGUUCUGUGCUGUGCCAGAGCUCUGUGCUGGUGCUGCUUCUACUACUUCUGCUGUGCCAGGGGAAUCUGGCAUCCUGCUGUGUGCUGUGCCAGUGCCCUGUGCUGGUGUUCUGUGCCGUGCCAGAGCUCUGUGCUGGUGCUGCUCCUGCUGCUUCUGCCGUGCCAGGGGAAUCUGGCAUCCUGCUGUGUGCUGUGCCAGCAUUCUGUGCUGUGCCAGCGUUCUGUGCUGUGCCAGUGUGCUGUGCCAGUGUGCUGUGCUGCUGCUGCUCCCUCGUGCCAGGGCACUCUGGCUCUGCCAUCCCGCUCCGUGCUGUGCCACCGUUCCGUGCCGUGCCAGUGUUCUGUGCUGGUGCUGUGCCUGCUGUGCCAGGGCAGUCUGGCUCUGCCCCGUGCUGGUGCUCCGUGCUGUGCCGUGCCCUGCGCUGUGCCAGCCUCGCUCUGCCCGGUGCCAGGGUGCUGUGCCAGCGCUUCCCCCUGUGCCAGAGCUCUGUGUCAGUGUCACGCUCUGCCUGGUGUCACUCUGUGCUGGUGUCACACUCUGCCCGGUGUCACGCUCUGUGCCGGUGUCACUCCGUGCUGAUGUCACUCUCUGUGUCAGUGUCACACUCUGCCCAGUGUCACACUCUGUGUCAGUGUCACUCUCUGUGCCGGUGUCGCUCUGUGCCGGUGUCACUCGCUGUGUCAGUGUCACACUCUGCCCGGUGUCACACUCUGUGCCGGUGUCACUCCGUGCUGGUGUCACACUCUGUGUCAGUGUCACACUCUGCCCGGUGUCACACUCUGUGCUGGUGUCACUCUCUGUAUCAGUGUCACACUCUGCCCGGUGUCACACUCUGCCCGGUGUCACUCCGUGCUGGUGUCACUCUCUGUGUCAGUGUCACGCUCUGUGCCGGUGUCACUCUGUGCUGGUGUCACACUCUGUGCCGGUGUCACUCUCUUGUGUCAGUGUCACACUCUGCCCGGUGUCACUCGCUGUGUCAGUGUCACGCUCUGUGCCGGUGUCACUCUCUGUGUCAGUGUCACACUCUGCCCGGUGUCACGCUCUGUGCCGGUGUCACUCCGUGCUGGUGUCACUCUCUGUGUCAGUGUCACACUCUGCCCAGUGUCACACUCUGUGUCAGUGUCACACUCUGCCCGGUGUCACACUCUGUGCCAGUGUCACUCCGUGCUGGUGUCAGUCUCUGUGUCAGUGUCACACUCUGCCCAGUGUCACACUCUGUGCCAGUGUCACACUCUGUGUCAGUGUCACACUCUGCCCAGUGUCACACUCUGUGUCAGUGUCACACUCUGCCCGGUGUCACACUCUGUGCCAGUGUCACUCCGUGCUGGUGUCAGUCUCUGUGUCAGUGUCACACUCUGCCCAGUGUCACACUCUGUGCCAGUGUCACACUCUGUGUCAGUGUCACACUCUGCCCAGUGUCACACUCUGUGUCAGUGUCACACUCUGCCCGGUGUC
rnacentral:lncRNA from 1 species